UACGAAGGGGGCUAGCGUUGCUCGGAAUCACUGGGCGUAAAGGGUGCGUAGGCGGGCCUUUACGCCGGGGGGGAAAUCCUGAAGCUCAACUCCAGAACUGCCUUUGAUACUGAAGAUCUUGAGUUCGGGAGAGGUGAGUGGAACUGCGAGUGUAGAGGUGAAAUUCGUAGAUAUUCGCAAGAACACCAGUGGCGAAGGCGGCUCACUGGCCCGAUACUGACGCUGAGGCACGAAAGCGUGGGGAGCAAACAGG
rnacentral:rRNA from 1 species